rnacentral:rRNA from 1 species
CGUGAGCGGCGGACGGGUGAGUAACGCGUGGGUAACCUGCCUCAUACAGGGGGAUAACAGUUGGAAACGGCUGCUAAUACCGCAUAAGCGCACAGUACCGCAUGGUACGGUGUGAAAAACUCCGGUGGUAUGAGAUGGACCCGCGUCUGAUUAGGUAGUUGGUGGGGUAACGGCCUACCAAGCCAACGAUCAGUAGCCGACCUGAGAGGGUGACCGGCCACAUUGGGACUGAGACACGGCCCAA